rnacentral:tRNA from 1 species
CAGAGCGUAGCUAAAUAAGAAUAGCAUCUCCCUUACACCGAGAAGAUGUCCGUGCAAGCCGGACCACACUGA